GUUGCAUUUCUCUGGAGACUUUGUUCACAUCGUCCUGUGAUCGCCCAUCAGUAAUGACAACCAAAACCUUUGGAAUGCCCUUUCUCAUGCCUGCCUCUCCAGUAAACAAGACUUCUCUUGCAUGUUUAAUGGCUUUGCCUGUUUUGGUAUUUCCUCCUUUGUAGGCUAUUUGCUGAAUGGCCUCAAGAAGAGUCUCUUUUGUUUUGUAUGCAUUCAACUUAAAUUCUGUCCUGGGAUCAUCACUGAAUUGAAUUAUUGCCACCUGUGUUCCAUCAGGGCCAAUCUUAUCCAAAGCUCCAACAGUACUAUACAGAAAGCUUAUUAUUUUAUUGAAAUUGUCAUCUCCAAUACUCCAUGACCCAUCCACUAGGAACACCAGGUCAGCUUUGGCUGCUUUGCAUACUUCUUUUGCAGGAGGGAUUGUAGGUGGUGGUGGUGUUGUUGAAGGAGAAGUUGGUGGCUGAGUUGGAAAUGGUAAUGUUGUCUCCAUGAUGCUUACAGCAGGGCCCUCUAUCUCUUGAAGCUGUGCAUGGACACUGAUUUUAUAUUCAGUUCCAGGCAUUAGUUCAAAGAAGCAAUGUCUGGGCACCCCUCCACCAAGAUUUACCUCUUGUUUUUUCCCAUCCACAAGUGAUUCUAUAACUACUCUGUAUGCAGUAGCAUGUCUGUGAAGCUGCCACUGAGCACAGAGGCUAGUCAUGCGGACUUGAUAUGUAUCCAAAUUUGUCACACCGAGGUACAAGGUUUUGGCUACGCCUGUUAGGGCAUCACUGAAGCCUGUUGAGUAUGAAGCAAAUACUUUCACACUGUACUCCGUUCCACUGAAGAGAUUUAGAAUGAGAAUGGUAUUAAUAUCAUCUCCUACAAAGGUCUCCAAUGCAGGACCAGGGACAUUGAUAGAUUUGUAGACAAUUCUGUAACCCAUAGUUGGUGAUGGUGGGGCAUCCCAACUAAUACGUAAUCUGUUGUACCAUUCAUCUGAGACACGUAAAUUUCUAGGAGCAGACAAGGGUAACGUUUUGCCAGGAGCUGAGACACUGACUCCCUCACCAUCAGCAUAGAUUGGAGUAAUUGUAACUUUAUAUUCCGUAUCGGGUAGCAGAGGCUGAAGCAGAAGAGUGUUCUGUCUCCCAGGCACCAUUAUCGUUCUUACCGCUUCCUCGGCACGGUCACCUUUGGCUGUGAGAUAGGUCACUCUGAACUGCUGAGCAUUGUGAUCUGAAAUGUCCCACACCACCCUCAGACUUGAGGUUGUUUCAUCAUCUAUAACAAGAUUUCUGACUCCUGUUCGAAAAACUGCUAUGGUGGGCUUAGGAGUCGUUGCAGUGGUAGUAGUUGUAGUAGUGACGGUGGUAGGUAUUGCAGUAGUUCCCACAAUUGUAGCUCCAAGAACAGCAACAACUUCACUUUCGGUUUCAUCAUCAAAAACUGCCAGCAAAGAAACUUCAUAUUCUGUGUUGGGCAACAAACCCUCAAUAACAUAACUGUCUGCAUCUCCACUUAAAACAACCUCUUCAGAUUCCCCUCCAUCCAAAGGAAUCCAUGCCAAUCUGUAAAAAGCAAUAUCUGAGGAGGUGGGUUUCCAGCUGACCCUAAAACUAUCUGUUGAUGCUUCAUCAACUUCCAAAUGCUGGGGAGGUGGAACUUUUCUUGUGGUAAAGCUGCCAGUAAGUGGUUCAGAUUGUCCUUCAUCAUACAGGGAGAAAAUAGCAACAGUAUAUUCUGUAAGGGCUGUCAGACUUUUUAAAGUAUGUGUUGAAACAGGACCAACUUCCACCUCAUUGGUUUCUGUUCCAUCUGUUUUAACGUACAUGAUGCGAUAGCCCUUCACAUUUUUGGAAGCAGGAUCCCAUGUUAGCUUAGCACUAUUGUGUCCAACAUCAGAAAACUUCAAGUUUGAUGGGGGACUUAGAGGUAAUGUUGUUUCUUGUCCAGUAAGGGGAUCACUAGCUUCUUCUCCAAACAUGGCAUAAACUGUGACUGUAUAUUCUGUAUUCGGCAAUAGUCCAUCCAGUUCAAGUUCAGUUGAGGCCUCACCAAUUUUUAUCUCCUUUUCAUCUGCAGCCAACCCUUCUGUCAGGGGAGCAUACAAGAUCAUGUAACCUGUGGCACCCGCUACUCCAUUCCACUUAGCUCUCAUGCUGCUGUGUGACACAUCAUACAGUUUCAGAUCUGAUGCCAUUGGCAAGGCAAGUGUAGUUUCAGUUCCACGGAGGCCCUCACUAGCAGCAUUUGAGUAUAUUGCAAAUACAGCGAUCUGGUAUUCGGUUAAAGACAUCAGGUUUUUAAGAACUGCCGUUGAUGAACUUCCAUCUACCACAACCUCUUCAGGCUGUCCUCCUCGAGUGGGAUAAUACACAACUCUGUAUUUUUCCACUUUGCCUGGAGAAUGAGUCCAGCUAACACGGAAUCCUCUAGCUGUUAUAUCAGAUGUGACCAAAUCUGUGGGAGCUCCAAGUGAAGCAGCAAUUGUUCCUUUGAUUUCCUUUUCCUGUUCCUCUACUCGUGAACACACUGUUCUGGUAAGCCCUUCGACAAUAGAAUUCAUGAAGUUGAAGUCAGCAACAUUGUAAACGUGUGUACUGUCAGGUUCAGAGGCAAUUUCUUUGAGUUCAUUUAUAUCUGCAUUCUUCACACCAAUAGCAAACAGCUCAAUGCCUGCAUCCCGUAGGUUUUUAGCAGGAGGGAUAACAUCAUCUUGGGAUUUCCCAUCGGUGAUCAAUAUACCGAUUUUAGAUACCCCAGGCCUUGCACCAGCUUCAGGCUUAAAGCUGUUCUCCAAAAUGUAAGUUAACGCAAGACCUGUUAGCGUAUUCCCUCCUUUAUAUGGUAGAUUACGG
rnacentral:lncRNA from 1 species